rnacentral:rRNA from 1 species
UACGUAGGAGGCAAGCGUUGUCCGGAGUUACUGGGCUUAAAGCGUGUGUAGGCGGGCCGUUAAGUGUCUUGUGAAAUCCCCCGGCUCAACCGGGGAAUUGCUGGGCAUACUGGCGGUCUUGAGCGAUCUAGGGGCAGAUGGAACAAGUGGUGGAGCGGUGAAAUGCGUAGAUAUCACUUGGAACGCCAAAGGUGAAGACAGUCUGCUGGGGAUCUGCUGACGCUGAGACACGAAAGCCAGGGGAGCGAACAGG